CCUACGGGGGCUGCAGUGGGGAAUAUUGGACAAUGGGCGAAAGCCUGAUCCAGCCAUGCCGCGUGUGUGAAGAAGGCCUUCGGGUUGUAAAGCACUUUCAGUGGGGAAGAAAGCCUUGGGGCUAAUACCCUCGAGGAAGGACAUCACCCACAGAAGAAGCACCGGCUAACUCCGUGUCAGCAGCCGCGGUAAUACGGAGGGUGCGAGCGUUAAUCGGAAUUACUGGGCGUAAAGCGCGCGUAGGCGGUCUGAUAAGCCGGUUGUGAAAGCCCCGGGCUCAACCUGGGAACGGCAUCCGGAACUGUCAGGCUAGAGUGCAGGAGAGGAAGGUAGAAUUCCCGGUGUAGCGGUGAAAUGCGUAGAGAUCGGGAGGAAUACCAGUGGCGAAGGCGGCCUUCUGGACUGACACUGACGCUGAGGUGCGAAAGCGUGGGUAGCAAACAGGAUUAGAUACCCGUGUAGUC
rnacentral:rRNA from 1 species